rnacentral:rRNA from 1 species
UAGGGAAUCUUCCGCAAUGGACGAAAGUCUGACGGAGCAACGCCGCGUGAGCGAAGAAGGUUUUCGGAUCGUAAAGCUCUGUUGUAAGGGAAGAACAAGUACCAUUUAACUGAUGGUACCUUGACGGUACCUUACGAGAAAGCCACGGCUAACUACGUGCCAGCAGCCGCGGUAAUACGUAGGUGGCAAGCGUUGUCCGGAAUUAUUGGGCGUAAAGCGCGCGCAGGCGGUCCUUUAAGUCUGAUGUGAAAGCCCACGGCUCAACCGUGGAGGGUCAUUGGAAACUGGGGGACUUGAGUACAGAAGAGGAAAGCGGAAUUCCACGUGUAGCGGUGAAAUGCGUAGAGAUGUGGAGGAACACCAGUGGCGAAGGCGGCUUUCUGGUCUGUAACUGACGCUGAGGCGCGAAAGCGUGGGGAGCAAACAGGAUUAGAUACCCCCGUAGUCC